GGGGAAUAUUGCGCAAUGGGGGAAACCCUGACGCAGCAACGCCGCGUGAGUGAUGAAGGCCUUCGGAUUGUAAAACUCUGUCUUUUGGGACGAUAAUGACGGUACCAAAGGAGGAAGCCACGGCUAACUACGUGCCAGCAGCCGCGGUAAUACGUAGGUGGCAAGCGUUGUCCGGAUUUACUGGGCGUAAAGAGUAUGUAGGCGGAUAUUUAAGUCAGAUGGGAAAUUCCCGGGCUUAGCCUGGGAGCUGCAUUUGAUACUGGAUAUCUAGAGUGCGGGAGAGGAAAGUGGAAUUCCUAGUGUAGCGGUGAAAUGCGUAGAGAUUAGGAAGAACACCAGUGGCGAAGGCGACUUUCUGGACCGUAACUGACGCUGAGAUACGAAAGCGUGGGGAGCAAAC
rnacentral:rRNA from 1 species